rnacentral:lncRNA from 1 species
GCUGCUGGAAAUUAGAAGUAAGGAGCUUUAAAGAAAGUCCCUUUAAAUUGGCAAAAAGUUUGAAUACAUUCAAAACAAAAUAGCCUCUUAAUACAUGUCCUACUUGCAUUAGGAAUCUUUAUUCCCUUAGUUAUUUGACCCCUUUAGGAGAUCCAUUAAGCGCCAACUAUUGAAACCUUUGCACUUAUUUUUUUACAUGC